ACCCGAAAACACGGAAAAGAUCCGAGCGGCCGGUUAGGGUGUAGCUCCAGUGGCGCAACCGGUUAGCGCGCGGUACUUAUAUGACAGUAUACAGCAGAGCAAUGCCGAGGUUGUGAGUUCGAGCCUCACCUGGAGCACAGUUUUGGUGACCCAAAGGUUUAAGUAGUCUUUCCACAGACAUGCAAACCGUUGGGGAAGCAUUUGUUCGAGGUCCCCGAUCAUCAACUCAAGCUGUUGUAUUCCUUACGUGUAAACCCUGGCAAAGCUGGGAAUGAACAAGCAGAAGAUUGCAGUAAUGACGUGACCCAGAAGUCCUGGCGGCAGGCUGAAAAUGAGAGUGGAGAUGAGGAGGCCUCCCUCCCAUCCAGUCAAGGGGGUAUUUAACAGCAGGCUUUUGAAGAUGGUCAGAAGACAAUAACCCUCUCGCACCCCGAUUUCUGGACCAGGUGGCUAAACCAAUCACACGCCACCCUCAGCGGGCCACUUUACCGGAUGAGAAGUGUGUGUGUGUGUGUGUGUGUUGGUGGAAUAAAAAGGGGGACAAACGACAACAAAAGAGUUUAAUAUUCGAGAUAAGCUGUGAUUGAACAUCCAGCGAGAUCAGAGCGGAAUGAUCAAAUUCUGCCACUGAUAAUCCCUCAUCUUGGAAAAUUAAAUACCACUCGGCUCUAACACGCUUACACACACACAUACACUUACACGCACACACUGGCGAAAAAAAAAAGUGGGUCUUAAUCUGACCUGUCUCAUCACCCCACUUGCUUCCUUGGGGCCGUGUUCUGAUAUCUGAUGAGUUUUUCAUAAACAAGACUCAAGUCUAAUCCUGCGGGAGGAACACAAAAUGACAACGGAUAAGCCCCCCCACCCCCGCCACCCUACACACACACACGUACGCACACACACACACACAGCACUGAUAUCCAACAUGACAUCUUUAUACGCACAUGUAUACUUUUUUUUUAUUUUAAGCUUUAAUCUCCUCUGACCAGUCGUAUUCACGCCAAUCUUAUGUCUUUGCUUGGCCUCCGUUUAUAUUUAUGCGAUGCGUUCACUGUACUGGGAUUAAGACGAAGGGCGUAUGUAUCUUUUGGAGCGGUUUACGACACUUCACAUUCAUAUAUCGAAUAAUGUGACCAAAAAAUAAAUAAAAAAUACAAUACAUCAUAUUCAGCAGAGAUGCUGAGUUUGGACGUGCAGAUCGCUAGUCGAGUUUGGCCGGAACAAGGUUUGCUCUGACCGACCAAUCAGAGGACGGAAAGAUGUUAUCCAGGCCCAGAGCUCUGGCCCUGUGAAAUAUGAUGAAGAAACAGUCCCAUUGCAAAUAUUUUCCAUGCUUGUAUCUCAAAACGCUUGUAUCUCAAGUCAUCUUUCCCUAUUGAAAUGAAAGGAAAUGCAAAUUAAUCCAUCCCCGUACAGACCGACGUGCAGUAUAGCUAAUCCACAUCCUCAUAAC